ensembl:misc_RNA
CAGGGCAGGUACAGCACAAGCAGCAACAGUGCACACUUUUCCCACAGCACCUCAUCCAUGUGCCUCAAUCCUGAUAUAGAGAAACCCCUCUAGA